rnacentral:lncRNA from 1 species
UCUACUUUCCCAAGUCCCCCACCACAACUCAGAAAAAAAGAAAGAAAGAAAAAAAAUUCCCGCUGGCACCAGCCAAACGCGCUUCUCUUUCUCUCUCUCACAAAAGAAACACAACGCACUCAACCCCACAUCUACCAUCCAAAUGGUCCACGUCAUCGACCCGUGCGGACUCGGUUCAUCUCUGCCCAACAGUUGUCAGGCUCGAAACUCAAAUUAAAAUGAAAAAAAAAUAAAAA